GUGCUCACUUUGGCAGCACACAUACUAAAAGUUGAUAUGGGAUGAUACAAGAUUAGCAUGGCCUUUGUGCAAGGAUGACACGAAUUCAUGAAGUGUUCCAUAUUUUU
rnacentral:snRNA from 1 species